GGUCAAGCUACUAAGGGCGCACGGUGAAUGCCUUGGCUCGAGCAGGCGAAGAAGGACGUGGCAAGCUGCGAUAAGCCUCGGGGAGGUGCAAACAACCUUUGAUC
rnacentral:rRNA from 1 species